GCGAGUGUGGCGUAGUGGUUUGAGUGUUGGUCUACGACUCUGAGGACCAGGGUUCGAUUCCCACUUGGC
rnacentral:tRNA from 1 species